rnacentral:snoRNA from 1 species
CCUCUCUCGGGAUCAUGCCUGGAGAGUUUCCAAUACUCUACCAGUCUCAGCUACAGGAGGGAGAGUCAAGCAGAGGCAUAUCCAUUUCAUUCCUAGCCUGGGCAGUGGCUAGUGAGUGGAAGGCCAUCUGCUACAAGU